rnacentral:rRNA from 1 species
AUUAAACGCUGGCGGCAUGCCUUACACAUGCAAGUCGAACGGUAGCGCGGGGCAACCUGGCGACGAGUGGCGAACGGGUGAGUAAAGCAUCGGAACGUGCCCUGGAAUGGGGGAUAACGUAGCGAAAGUUACGCUAAUACCGCAUAUUCUGUGAGCAGGAAAGCAGGGGAUCGCAAGACCUUGCGUUCUGGGAGCGGCCGAUGUCGGAUUAGCUAGUUGGUGGGGUAAAAGCCUACCAAGGCGACGAUCCGUAGCGGGUCUGAGAGGAUGAUCCGCCACACUGGGACUGAGACACGGCCCAGACUCCUACGGGAGGCAGCAGUGGGGAAUUUUGGACAAUGGGCGGAAGCCUGAUCCAGCCAUGCCGCGUGAGUGAAGAAGGCCUCGGUGUAAGCGCUUCGUGGGAGAAGUA